rnacentral:tRNA from 1 species
CGGGGUAUAGCGCAGUCUGGUAGCGCGCCUGCUUUGGGAGCAGGAAGUCGGGGGUUCAAAUCCCUCUGCCCCGA